GAUUGCAGGCUGNAACCCGCCUGCAUGAAGUCGGAAUUGCUAGUAAUCGCGGAUCAGCAUGCCGCGGUGAAUACGUUCCCGGGCCUUGUACACACCGCCCGUCACACCAUGGGAGCCGGUAAUACCCGAAGUCAGUAGUCCAACCACGUGAGGACGCUGCCGAAGGUAGGAUUGGCGACUGGGGUGAAGUCGUAACAAGGUAUC
rnacentral:rRNA from 1 species